UACGAAGGGGGCUAGCGUUGCUCGGAUUGACUGGGCGUAAAGGGCGCGUAGGCGGUUCGUACAGUCAGACGUGAAAUUCCUGGGCUCAACCUGGGGGCUGCGUUUGAUACGUGCGGACUUGAGUGCGGAAGAGGGUCGUGGAAUUCCCAGUGUAGAGGUGAAAUUCGUAGAUAUUGGGAAGAACACCGGUGGCGAAGGCGGCGACCUGGUCCGAUACUGACGCUGAGGCGCGAAGGCGUGGGGAGCAAACAGG
rnacentral:rRNA from 1 species